AGAGUGAACGCUGGCGGCAGGCCUAAUACAUGCAAGUCGAACGGCAGCACGGCAGAGCUUGCUCUGUGGGUGGCGGGUGGCGGACGGGUGAGGAAUACAUGGGAAUCUGCCCAGUCGUGGGGGAUAACGUAUGGAAACGUACGCUAAUACCGCAUGCGCCCUUCGGGGGAAAGCCGGGGACCUUCGGGCCUGGCGCGAUUGGAUGAGCCCAUGUCGGAUUAGCUAGUUGGCGGGGUAACGGCCCACCAAGGCAACGAUCCUUAGCUGGUCUGAGAGGAUGAUCAGCCACACUGGGACUGAGACACGGCCCAGACUCCUACGGGAGGCAGCAGUGGGAAUUUUGGACAAGUGGGACGAAAGCCUGAUCCGAGCAAUGCCGCGUGCAGGAGAAGGCCUUCGGUUAGUAACUGUCGUUUGUAACGGAACGAAAGGUCUUACGUUUACUAAUAAGAGGCCAUCGACGUACGUAAGAA
rnacentral:rRNA from 1 species